AUCUCUGUGAUGCAAUGGGUCAGUUCAUCUGGCUGUUAACCAGGUUGGUGGUUUGAGCCCACCCAGGGACA